ACUGAAUAGGCGGUAAGGAAGGGGAGACAAUGGGUGUGAGUUGUGCAUUUGAUAAACACACACAGAGGGAAACAGAGACAAUGAGUGGAGAGAAAUGUGGGGGGUAAAGAAAGACUUUCAAUGAAAGGAAAGAGAUCUAAAAGGAACAAAAUUUUUGAGUGAGGAGGAAGAAAUGGAGUGGAGCAAGACACAGCAGAUGGCUUGGCCUGUGGUGGGAGAAGCCUUCACGCUUCACCUAAACAGAAGGAAAGGAGGCGGAGAUGGAGAUGCAAGCACGGUCGCAGUUUUGGAAGAAAAAUGAUGCUCUAUGAUGGACAAUGGACAACAGACUAAGGGUGGCUUCGUGGCAGUGUCAGAGGAGGCUCUUGGGCAGG